ACUGGGAGAGGCCGUUCAAAACUAUCAGACUAGAGGACGGUAGAGGAAGGUAGAAUUCCCGGUGUAGUAGUGAAAUGCGUAGAUAUCGGGAGGAAUACCAGUGGCGAAGGCGGCCUUCUGGACCGUUCCUGACGCUCAGACACGAAAGCUAGGGGAGCGAACGGGAUUAGAAACCCCGGUAGUCCUAGCUGUAAACGAUGCAAACUUGGUGUUGGUGGGGUAAAAUCCGCCGGUGCCGAAGCUAACGCGAUAAGUUUGCCGCCUGGGGACUACGGCCGCAAGGUUAAAACUCAAAGGAAUUGACGGGGCCCCGCACAAGCAGCGGAGCGUGUGGUUUAAUUCGUUGCUACGCGAAAAACCUUACCCGGGUUUGACAUAUAGGUAGUAGGGAUUCGAGAGAUGACCGACCCUU
rnacentral:rRNA from 1 species